AGAAGGAAAGAGAGAAGGAAGCGAGUCGCUUCGGUCUGAGUCCUCAGUUCGAGCUUUCCGGGCGCCGCCAGUCCGUGCAGAGCUCGCUCCGACGGCCACGGUCGUGCCGUUGCCUCGCCGGAUUCUGCCGCGACCGGCAAUGUCUGAAGUCGGGAUUCUGUUCUCGCAGAAUGGCUGGCUGAUUGGAUUGGUCAGAGAAAAUAUCAAAAACACGUUUACCUAUUCUCCCAAUAUAUGUCCUCAACACUCGUAGUGACCAGCUUACUUUUUCCUUCAUCAUCAAAUGGAGGGGAAAUAUGCUCGUCCUUCGAUAGAAGAGAACCGAAUGCCUCUCUGUUUUGCCUUUCGGUAUAUUGAGCUUGCCCUUGCAGCAUGCCUUGCGAUAGCAUGUCGUCCUCUGAGUUCAGGAGACGUUCAGGUUUCUCUGCCACAACCAUGAUCAGCAUGUCUUCUUUCACCCUCUGAAGAUGCUAACAUCUCUCCUGGGUGCUGGGGGAUUCAGCAUGACAACAAAGCAAACCCAGAAAGUGCUUGCUUCUGGAAGCACAACAACUGAAGCAGAGAGUGAGAGAACAAGUGACAACACUGUUGUUGGUCUUGUCUUCCUAUGUUUGUUCACUCUCUUUGAACUGUUUGUUGAUAUCCACCCUUAACUCGUCAAUCAAUUUUCUUCUUUUUUUC